GAGCAGGUUGACGUUUGUCAUGAAUCUUGCCCUGUAUGCAGAACUGAGCGAUUUCUUCUCUGGGCCAGCGGUUUUUGGUCUUCAUUUAACGUUCGAGUUAGGCAUUAGGGUUAGCAAUGUGGUUAAGGUUAGGUUUAAAAUCCGAUUUUAUGACUUUGUGGCUGACAUCUCUGCAGAACUGCCUCCAAGGUUGGAUUCGAAAAAGUUGCAAUGAAGGACAUGUGUUUCCGGUUUAACGACACAAAGUGCCCAGAGGUGACGAAAUGUUUUGAUCAUAAUGGUGACCUGAACCAGAAUCUGCUGAUGGUGCCAGGUCCUUUCCAGAAAUGCACAUCCACCCCCUAUCCUCCUUCUGGGAGGUGCACCAUGUGUAGUCUGGAUUAUUAUUACACUGUGUGCAGAAACGUCUCAGAGAGCAUCCAGCCUGCCCUGGAGGCCAACAGCACAGCCAUUACCAACUAUGAACAAGCCAAUUGCCCUGUCAUCGGCAUCGCGCCAACUAAUGUGACAGGUUCAGACUUCACUGGAGCUGGUGGUCAAAACGGACAUCCUGGGGGUGAACUGUGGUGGUGUUUACUGCUCUCUGUCCUGGUCGUUGUUUGCAUUGGCAUCAUUGCUUACAGGUGUAUCAAGAAGCGCAAAAUAGAAAACCAUGUCAUAUAAGGCACUCAGGACUACCCAUCCCUUAACCAAGCUAUUUGGACCCAACCACCAGAGAAAGUGACAGGGACAGCACUCAGGACUACCCAUCCCUUAACCAAGCUAUUUGGACCCAACCACCAGAGAAAGUGACAGGGACAGCACUCAGGACUACCCAUCCCUUAACCAAGCUAUUUGGACCCAACCACCAGAGAAAGUGACAGGGACAGCACUCAGGACUACUCAAACCCCCAGAUCAGGAUGCUGCUGCAUUAUCUCUGCCUUAAUUCCAUCACUUUAACUCUUCUUCUUAAAGUUGUAAUCUUUUAAUACAUUUUCAUAUUCAGAUUCUUGUAAAUCAGUACCGUUAAACCAGUGCCUUGGAUAAUUUUUGGUCCUCUAAUACUGACACCAGCCGGCUAAAGCCUACUCUUAUUCUUAGGAAUAAGUAUGGAAAUACAAAUGUUUUACCCAUGACGCAUCUACCAGGGUAUUUUGAAUGGGGCAAAAAGGGAAAAUAUGGACAGUUAUUAAUCAAGCAGAGAUAAGCUUAUUCAGAAGUUGAUGCACUUUAACCCACCAAUUAAUUAUAAUUUACACAUGUUCUAUAACACCCAUUACACCUUUGAAACUUCAUAUGAGUGGUCUGCACAUGGCUGAGGGAGGAAUGUAGUGAUUUAUAAUACAAGUUAUUACCAUCAAGAUGAUGGUACAGGACCCCACUACUGAAAAUCAACCUGGGUUCGUAAAUGAUUUGUGCCAUCCAUCUCCCUAAUGAAAAGGAUUUAUCCUAGCCUUCACCACCACUGUACUGUAUGUAAAAGCAUUAUGUUGUACUGUGCUAUUUGUCUAUGUCAAUACUGUAUUUCUAAUGCUAGUGUUUGUGAGAUGUAGUAAGUCUGUUUACAAGUAUAUUUAUGCUGUAAAGCAGGGUUUCCCAAACUCAUUCAAAUAACGAAUUUAAAUCAGCUGUGUAGUGCUAGGGCAAACAUUAUAUACAGUAUGCACCCAGGGUGGGCCACAGAACCGAGUUUGGGGAACCCUGCUGUACAUUAUGAGGCUGUAAUACUCUAUUCUAUACCAGUACUCAAGUGUUGGAGAAAAGGAUCAUGAAAUAUUUACUUCUCUUUUUUUAACUUUCUCAAAUAAAUCUUUAUAUAAAUGAA